ACUUGAGCAGACGUAGCAGUGUUGGUGAAGUGUGAAAGUAAUUAGGGUAUAUUAACGUUGGAAAGAGGACCGGAUCAGGGGCAGUGACCCGACUGGACUGGUAAACAAACCUCGCACGUCUCUCUCUCCUCACUCCUCACCGAGGAAGAGAGAGAGAGAGAGAGGAGUCUCAUCUCAUCCAAUCCAUCACUCCGCAUAUCUUUCAAUCUUCCAUUUCUCUGAUUAUCGAUUCUCUCACUCACCAAUCCGCUUUCAUCCACCGCCCAUUCCACACACAUAGUGAAACCGCAAUUUUUUUUGAAGUUUGAAAACCUGUUGAAUAUUUUCUCUUGCCCCUCCUGAUUUGCAGGAACAAUGGGGAAGAAAACAAAAAAGAAGAGUCGAAGUGUUGUUAAGUCGGGAGUUGCUGUACCUUUGUUGCCGAAAAGUGUUACGGAAUCGGAAAAUCCAACUAUUGAGUCUGUUGAUGAGGGGGUUUCAGUUACAAAAGAGAGAAACUCUUGUCCUCAUCUUGUUAAAGGUGUGAAAUUAGAUGUAUUGUCGGGUAAGAUUGGGUCUUCUAGAUCCAUAAGGUGUGAAGAUUGUAGGGAAGGGGCGGCUGAUAGGAGGGGUGGUAAAGGAAAAGGUAAACAUGUGAAGAAGAAAGGUGGUGUAUCAUUGGACUCCAAACCAGAUUCGAAGUCUAUAUGGGUUUGUUUGGAGUGCGGCCACUAUACCUGUGGAGGUAUGGGGUUACCAACAGCCCAUCAUUGUCAUGCUGUUGGGCAUUCAAGGAAAACCCGACAUCCAUUAAUGGUUAAUACCGAAAAACCUCAACUUUGUUGGUGUUUUCCUUGCAACAUGCUUAUUCAUGUUGAUAAAAUUGAGAAAACAGAUGAAACAAGUCAUAUUUUACCUGAUGUUGUGAAAUUGUUAAAAGGACGAUCAUCGGAAAAAUCGUUGGUGGUUAUUGAAGAUGUUUCCAUUGGGAGUGGCAGUGUUACUGCAGAAAUUAAGUCAGGAUCUCUGUCCAUAAGUGAUUCCCAUGGACAAGGUGGUUAUGUAGUUCGAGGCAUGGUUAAUCUUGGGAACACUUGUUUCUUUAAUUCAAUCAUGCAAAAUUUGCUUGCUAUGAAUAAAUUGCGGGAUGAUUUUCUAAAGAUUGAUGCCCCUGUUGGGCCACUGGUCAGUUCGUUGAAGAAGUUGUUCACCGAAACAAACCCAGAAUCUGGAUUCAGAAACAUUAUAAACCCAAGAUCCUUUUUUGGUUGUGUAUGUUCUAAGUCUCCCCAAUUUCGAGGAUAUCAGCAACAUGACAGUCACGAAUUGCUCCGUUGUCUACUGGAUGGGUUGAGUACCGAAGAACUAGCAGGAAGGAAACAGAAUGGUACUCUCAAAAGAGAUGGAACCUCUUCCAAUACUUUAGUUGAUGCCUUAUUUGGGGGUCAGAUCUCUAGUACUGUAUGCUGUAAUGAAUGCAGGCAUUCCUCAACAGUGUAUGAGCCUUUUUUAGAUCUCUCCCUUUCUGUUCCAACUAAGAAACCUCCGUCUCGGAAGGCUCCCCAAGUACCCCGAACGAAAAAGACAAAACUUCCACCAAAAAGAUUAGGAAAGUCUCGAGUCAAAGUUAGCAAGGAUACUGAUCCUUUACCCGUUCAAGAUGUACCUAGCCAAUCAUCCAGCCAUGAAUCAUCUUGCCCUGAUCAGUCUGUGAUAUCAGUAUCUGGGGAAAUGGUGGUUUCUUCUGCUGAUUCUACAGUAUUAGGCUCUGAAGAAGUAAGCAGCGCUGGCAAUAAAGAGGACUUAUCUCCACUUAAUUUGGUAACUGUUGGAGAGUCUCAACAAAUUCAAGUGCUUGACAGUGUUGCAAAUAAAACGACUGGUUCAUCAGAUGAUUUUGCAUGGUUGGAUUAUGUAGAAGCUGAAACUGUAAUAGAUGAAUAUGCUUCUAUAUCUGAGAAGGAAGAUGCACCGGAGGUACAGGACUCUGAGAACAAGGAUGAGCUUUUGGCUGUAUUUCCUGAACAAGCUAGUUGUGAAACCAGUGGUCCUGUUUGUUUCCCUCAGGAGUAUCAAAACCUAAGACCUGAUUUUUCUUCAUCAAAUGUGUGGGAAGACGAGGCUCCUAUACAAGUUCAAAAUUCAGAAGUGCUGUUACUUCCAUACAAAGAAGAAAGUUCCUCAGUCGGGGACAUCAUGGGAAGAGAGGGUGGUGAGGACUCCUCAUCUGUUUUGGGGGGUGGUCCAGAAGAAUCAGAGUUUGAUGUCUUUGGUGGCUUAUUUAAUGAACCUGAGGUUGUUGCUGGGCCUGCUCCCAGACCUUCUUCAUCCGGUGAUGUGGAAGCUGUGACCAUCAUUAGAAACAUCAGUGAAUCUGAUCCAGAUGAAGUAGAUGAUACAGAUUCUCCAGUCUCUGUAGAGAGUUGCUUGGCACAUUUUAUAAAACCCGAGCUUCUUUCUGAUGAAAAUGCUUGGCAUUGUGAGAACUGUUCAAAAAUCCUCCAACGCCAAAAGAAGAAAGCGAAAAAGCAGGCAAGAAUUCUAUCUGAUGGAAAUGUGAGUGGUAGUCAUGAUGAAUCAUGUCAUGCAUCUAACUCAUGUUCGUGUUCUCUAAAAGUCAAUAGUAGAGGAAAUGGAGAUAUUAAAAGUGACAAGAAUAUAGAAAGUUCAGUUUCACAUGUUCAGCAUGGCCCAGAGCUGCAUAAUGGUGAAUUACAGUCUUCAUCUUUUCAACAAGCUAGCAAGGAAGAAAGCUGCAAUGAUUCAGCCGCAGAUUCUUGUACUUCUGGAAAUGUCCAACGAGAUGCUCCAAUGUCAGAUAAUGAUGAUAAUGACUCAGAAGAAUGCAGCGACAAAGAGACCGAAUUAGAAAGCAUGAGAGUGAAUAGGGAUGCAACUAAGAGGGUCCUCAUUUAUAAAGCCCCACCUGUUUUGACCAUUCAUCUAAAGAGAUUCAGCCAGGAUGCUCGUGGCCGCUUAAGUAAAUUAAAUGGUCAUGUUGACUUCAGAGAAACAUUGGAUCUAAGACCCUAUAUGGACCCCAGGUGUAUAAAUGAAGAAAAGUAUGAAUACCAGUUGGUUGGUAUAGUGGAGCACUCGGGAACCAUGAGAGGGGGUCAUUAUGUUGCUUACGUUAGAGGGGGCCAGAAGAACCGAGAGAAGGUCGAUAAUAAAGAAAACGAGCAUGUGAAUUCCACAUGGUAUCAUGCGAGUGAUGCAUAUGUGCGUGAAGUUUCCCUUGAUGAAGUUCUUCGAUGUGAGGCAUACAUUUUGUUUUAUGAAAGAAAUUGAGUGGACCAUCAUCUACUUUCUAGCUAUUUUAUACAUUUAGAAGAGUGAAAGAUACAUCAUUGCAGAUUAUGACAAGAUUGUAAGACAAAUGCUGAUGAGGUUUGGGUCCAAACCUCCAUUUGGCCCAACCCACGGGUGAGGUACGCAAGCCCAAUAAAAUCCAAAAAAGUAUCGAUUUUUGUGCGUUUGGUCCAUACUGGUUCAUUUAUUUUUGGAUUGAGCUAGUAACGGGUGAAGGAGAUAUAAUCUCUAUUUCAUCUAUCAAGUGCAAACUAACAUUGUGCAAACAAAUGACAUAAUCUCUAUUUCAUCUAUCAAGUGCAAACUAACAUUGUGCAAACAAAUGACUCUUGCAGUGGAGGAGAUAUAGAUAUAAUCUCUAUUUCAUCUAUCAAGUGCAACCAAAAAAAACGUGGAUUCUUAACUCUAGAUGCUCUUAGCACAGUCUGAUCAAAUACUUUUGAAUUCGUUUAUCUGAGUAUUGAUGAAGCACAUGUUAUCACAAUAAUAGGACAAAUUAAAAUUAUUAUGGAUGAUGGUGGUCUGCAAACAUUAAAUCAUGUCAAAUAUGUACUAUAAUUAAGGAAGAAUUUGAUUUUCCUACAAACAAAUAAUUUCUCAUAUAGAUCUGAAGAAUAUAUGAACGGUCAACUAGCCCGUCCUGGUAGUUACGAGAACUAAGAGGACUAUAGAUCACACCUCUAUGUGUUUGUUUCAAGGUUUGAAAUUACAUUUUUGGGAAUACGGCAUUUUCACGUUUGUUUUAAGUUUUUAAAAUUGUUCUCGGAUAGUGUUUAUUCUAAG